rnacentral:lncRNA from 1 species
CCUUCCUUGACGAAGGGGUAGGUCUUGAGGUUCUCCAGGGACAGGUUCACGGCCUCCUACAGAAACAUUCGGGAAGAAAUACAACGUGCAGUACGUGUUUUUUGUGAGCAAAAAAAAAAACGAAUCUAUAUAUUCGAUGAUCACGCAACAACUAACUAGCUACUCGUGCGUGUGGUGCACGUACGUACCUUCUCUAGAAUAGAGCACUGGUCAUCGAACGGCACCGAUGCGUGGUCUUUCUUCACCUUAAUCUUGGCAGGGAAGCCGAUCUUAACCCAGUUCUCAACGAAGUGGCUGCAGGGUACAAGUUUAAAUAGUAAUAUAUAUAGUGAGACCAGAAUUAUCAUGACACACGGAGCGCACAAGUUUCUUCUUCAUUUGUUUGUCUGGAUCUAAAUGAAACGUAUACAUAUUUCACUGUGAGUAGUGUGACGAGCGACGACUUACAAGUUGUCAGGUGCGCCGUCCUGGAGGGAGAGGAGCGCCCUGAUGCCACCGCAGCAGCUGUGGCCAAUGACCACGAGGACCUCCACCUUGAGCGCGCACACGGCGUACUCGAUGGCGGACCCGAUGCCGGUGUACUUGGUCUGCAGUCGACACGAAAACGAACUGUCAAUUAAUUAAUGUCCGCGCGCCCGAGCCAGGAAAAAAUAAAAAAAAACUAGAUACCUUGUCGUAGGCUGGGACCAUGGCGGCGAUGUUGCGGACGGUGAAGGCCUCGCCGGGCUGCAGGCCCAGGGUCACCGACGGGCACACGCGGGAGUCGGAGCAGGCGAACACCACGUACUGCAACAAUGCAGGCGGAGGGGAAAUCAGUCACCGUCAGGUCGGCGAAAAGAGGGAGGACUGGAGCACGCAAAACCAAGUUCGAUCGGUUUCCCAUGGCUCUUAUCGAUAAGCAGGUAGGCAGAUCAUCGGCCCCGAGCAUCUCAUCAGUGGAUCGGAGUGGAGGAUUUUUGGCUGUGGUGGGUUUAUUUGCACGCUCUGCCACCUAAAAAGCCGGCAACUCUUUUUGAGUUUUGACCCGCCUGUCUUUGUUCCAAUGCUCUUUUUUUACUAGUACGUACUACAGGGGCAGGAUGGAGAAAAUCCAGGCUGCAGGAAGGUUCCUCCGUGUUAUAGAUACUAGUACUAGUAGUUGCCACGAGGAUAAUCUACGCUGGGUUUCCGUGUUGCCAAGGAACAGGCGAACAGCACGCAAAGGAGUAUUUCUGGACAAGUUGGCACGCAAAUGCCGGAGAGGCGGAGAGGAUACAUUCAUACAUAUAUAUGCGUGAACGAAUGAACCGAGAACGACUAAUUUCAUGUGAGACCAUCUUCAGGAAUUUUUAAAAACUCGCAUCUAUUCUAGAUUUUUUGUUGUUGUAAGGUUUAAAAACUGCUUUGACUAUCAGUCAUUCCGCACAUGAGAAAAAAAAACAAUCUAAUAAUCGUGUGCAAAUCUGGCGCACAGAGACGAUCCGGAAUUAAUUCAGAGACGAAAGGCUGAAAAGGACGUGUGGGAGGUGAAAAGAAGUAGGAUAAAGCAACCGAUUGAGAUUGUAGACGAAAGGAAGAAACAAAGUGUACAAACGGUUGGAGCUAGCGAUCUAUCUAUAAAUAUUUUCAGGAUUUCUGAUACAAAAUAAUUGUCUUCUAGUAGUAUAUUUUAGGAGCGAGAUAUCACAGUGAGAGAGAGAUAUAUAUAUGGAUGCGAAUACAGAGUGUUCUCUCGACGAUGCUAAAAAGCAACGAGCCAAUAAUAGGCCCUGCCCAACAUUUACGCGCCUAGCUUUUGCAAGCAAGGGGACGAUCGAGAGGGAGAAGACGCGUCCAGACUAGUGCUGCCGGGCCAGCCCGGCCCAAGUCUAUCGUGCUUCGUGUCAAACGGGUUCGGGUCAGGAAAGCUCAAACAAUUUUUAGACCGUGCCGUGCCAGUCCGAAGUAUAAAAACAGUGGCCCAGCCCGGCCCUAAACCACGACGUGCCUUCGUUGGGUCGUGCCGGCCCAAGCCCAGCCCGUAUAUUUGACCACAUAAAAUCAAAAUAUUAUAACCAUAUAAAGUUCAUAGCUUACUAAAUUAAAUAUAUUAAACAAUUCUAACAUCAUAUAACCACAUAAACUCUAACUAUAACAACAAUAUAAAGUCGAUAUCUUACUAAAUUAAAGAAAUUAAACAGAUUGGACUUAAUUGGGCCGUGCCGGCCCAAGCCCGGCCUAUCUAUGCGGGCCGUGCCGGGGGCCCGACGGGUCGGAAUUUGAGGCCCGACUCAGGCUCGCCUUCGUGCCGUGCUAGCCCGGCCCAUAUUAUUUCGUGUCGGGUCGUGCUUUGGGCUCUUAUUUUCGGGCCGUGCUCGUGAUGGCCCGAAAAACCCGGCCCAGAUUCUCAGCACUAGUCCAGACCAUACUGACGACGAAAGGGUACCCGUGAGGCGAGCGACGGGGCAGUGCUUGGCAACCGCAGGACGACGACAGGACCGGUCGAUCGAUGGCUCAACGGUGGGGGGCCUCGGCCUGUGCUUAAUCAUGGCUGGACUGGACCUGGACCACGCACAUUAGCCUGUUCUAUCAUACUUAUUUAGGCAAAGGAGACUUGGGGCUCACGUCUCUUUAAUUUGUGCUGUGAGUGCCAAACAAAACAAAACGAAAAAAAUUCAAAAUGACGAGACAUCUGAAAUGGCUGGUCACCACCGGCCGUCUGUCGCUGGCGUUCAAACGCAAUGAUGGAAUGGAAGUGGCCAUAUAUAUGUUCAGCAAAAGAAUUCAACAGUUCUUUGUUUCCCACUGACCCAGUGCGCCCGAUCGAGCUAGAUUGCUUUUAUCUUCUCCUUUUUGCUGCAAAUAAUGUUUGACUAGUAUAGUAGUAUUUUUUUGCUAAAUGGCAUCAUUUGGAAUUAUGAUUAGUCUAAGCAUUACCGUCAAGGCAGAGGGGAGGACAAUGGUGUUCGAUGCCACAGCUUGAAGACAGGGACCCCAAAAAAAAAAGAGGGCAUUUUCCCAUCUAUCUCCUCGAAACUAAAAAUAAAUAAAUAAAAUAAGUACUAACGGUGUCUUUUGGUAAAUAACCACAAAUUUGGAAUGGUAUAUCCAGACUCCAGUAAACUUCGACGUUGGCACUAGCCAAUUCCACGUUUCUCCAUAGUUCUACAAAAAAAAAUACGGGGAGGAAAACUAGUAUUCCCUCCAAUCUCUCUUUAUUUGUUGUGUUCUAGUUCAAAAAAUGAGCUAACGGACGACAAAUAUUCGAGAAUGAGGUCGCGAAUGCAUUCAUAAAGUAAUUAGCAAUUAGGUGCACGGGAAGACUCCCAUAAAUUAAAGCAAUAAGCUCUGUCGGCACUUGCAAGAUUGUGUCACCAGAUUAUAUACUAGGAAACAGAAGGAAGAAUCAAUCGAUAUACUAAUAAUGCAUAACUAUAUCCUGUCAUCUGCAAAGUGAGCCUAUAUACAGGGAAGGGAAGAAGGCAGCAUCGUCUCAAUAGUUUACCGAACCAAACGCAAAUCAGCAGCGCAGCACAUGGGUGAGCAGAGCACCACCCGGGACCGGGAUAGUGCCCGCGGCACAGCGGGAGUUGUUAAGAGCAUCUCCAAAAGACUCUUUAUUUUUUACUCUCUAUUUGACUCUUUAUUUGUCACUUUAUAAAGAUUAAACUCUAAAUAUAACAUCUCAUUCUAACAGAUUCUCCAACAUGCAAGUUAGUCUGGCUAGCGAGAUUUGCUAGCCAAAUUUGGCUAGUGAGAGAGUCAAUUUAGAGAGCCGGAUAACUUGUCAAGUUAAAUGGCUAGCCUGUUGGAGAGCUAUUUUGCUAUUAAGUAGCUAAAAUUUAGGGGCUGUUUGGUUUGCUACCUAAGACGCCACAACGUGCCUAACUUUUCUGCCUAACCUUAGCUCUUCAAUUCGAGCGACUAAGGUUAGGCAGAUUGUGGCGCCUUAGGUAGGAAACCAAACAUGCCAUUAGCUUGACAAUUUAUUUAGCUAGUUUCUUGGAGAUGCUCUAAUAAAUGAUUUUUUUUUGCUCUCGAUGAUGCAUGCAUGUAUGUAUCCCACUUACUGUCAUUUCUUUGCAUAUCCAGCAGGCUACCAAUUGGCCGCAAGUGCCGACAAGCUGUCGCCGUCAGUUUUUUAAGCCGUGCAAGCAGGACAACCCGUUUCCUUUUCUCUACUCUACUGUAACUUUGACCUCGCUAACGGCGCAAAAGGCUGCGUGCUGCGCACCCAGCUGGGACACAGACACAGGGGUGGACGAUGAAUAGUGAGUGCAAUGCAAUGCUGCCUGGGAAGGACGCUGAUGAGCUACAGAGCUAGAGCAGCGACACGGUUUUCUCUGAGCACAGCCAGAGCUUGCCUCAACCUGGACAGGACAGCUGCUGGGCAACCGAAUCUGUCAUGUGGGGGCCAGUCUUGUCUCGGGCGUUACACAGAGUCCCACGGCCACGGAGAAUCCGAAAAACCGGGACGCGGUUUCGCCUUAUUAACCGUCCGGGAUCUAUGCUGGGCAUGGCAUCACGGGAGCUACGAGUAUGUACGACAGAGUAACCGGCCAGCCGGAGCCGCUAGAGCCAAAAAAAAAAAAAAAACACUUGGCGGCGUACAAGGGAGCUAGCGACUAGAAGAGAAGGCAGCACGCAUGGUAGACUGGUAGUAUAGGCUAGUAGCACAUACCUUGGGGGCCUGGCCGGCCUUGAGAGGCUCGAACAGCUCCGGCUUCUUGCUGCGAGAAAAGGCCAACGGGGCACUCAGAAUUCCAGAAAGAAAGCAAGCGCCAUGGGAUCGAAACCAGCAGCUAGCUCUGGGUACAGAGAGGAGGGGGACUGACUUACUCAUAGACCUCGGUCUUGAACUUGUGGAACCCGUCCUUCAAGCGCUCGACGGGGUCGUCCAUGGCCCCUCCCCUGCCUGCAACAUCAACAGCCACAGAGACACCGUCGGCCGGUCAGCUCGCCGUCUCCAGAAAGACGACCAACCUGCUCGCUCGUGAUUGCGAUACAGGCAGCAUGAUAGAGAGAGAGAGAGGGCGAGGGGCAUGAUGCAGUUUUUGGCCUCCUCGCCCACGGACCACAGGGAAAAGCAUGCACAAAGGUGAUCUAAAAGCGGGAACAGGGAUCUUCUUUGCACCAGCACAGUACAGCGCAGCGAGAAGGUGGGAGAGCUGCAGGCUACUACUGAACUGAUGGCAACAGAGGAAAAAAGGAAACGGAGGGAUGGACGGAGAUUGCAGUGUGUGCAGGAUGGUACAGGGGCCGAGGGAGGGGGGGAGGAGGGGACGGACCUUGGAAGGUGGGUGGCCUUCUGGUUCUCAGGGAGGGACGGACAAGGUGGAUGAAUUGGACGCCUUCGGUGACCCCCGCUCCGAUCCUUUUUAUAACGACACGCGGGAGGCAAAGGCAGCUGCUCACCUUCUCCUCUUUUCUUCCACUCCUCUCUUAUCUCCGGACGGAUGUAUGUAUGCGAUGCGGCCCUCUCACUCUCUCUCUCUCUCUCUCUCUCUCUCUCUCUCUCGUGGUACAGUUUACUAGCAACAAGACGCGUGUAAUCGUGCCAGCGAGAGAAAGAGACACCGUCAGUAACGCCUGAGAGCGGCCUUUGUGGACAAGGUAUUUCCAACAAAUGGCGCUCGCUUCCUCUGAGUCCGACACCGAUCGAUCGAGGUGGGAGAUACAAGUGAAAUUUUGCACCGGGUGAGUUGGAACCGUCCGGACACGGUCUAAAGCUAAGAGUACGAAGUGAAAUUGAUUGAAUUAUAUAUGCCAGUCCGUUAUGAACGUUGGGCUGAGCCAUAACUUUUGGUCCAGCGUACCAUAUGGCACGGCGGCACUGAGUGUCUGUUUGUGCUUGAGCCGACACGAUAUGUAAAUGGCUCGCAUGUGAGGUAGCUUGCUCGAGAUGGUGUGCAAGGGAGGAACUUCUUUUUAGGUUGUAACCAACAGACAGUGCAUAUGGUCGUGACCAAUAAACUGUGCAUAUUGUCAUAUACAAAUAAAAGCCACCCGCAAGAUAGAAGAAUAUAACAGAGAUAUCACAUUUGAGAUGUUUGGGGGCCUACCUUGCCAAAGGUCAUUAAAAUACCUUUACUUCGGCAUAAGAAAAUAAUAAGAAGUGGUGUGUAGGGAAGCUUCGUUCUAUACAUACAAGCGGCGAAGGUGCGAGCCGAAGCCGUUAGCUUCGGCGUGGAGAAAACUUCGGGCACAAAGUGGUGAAGGAGAACAAGUCCAAGACUUGAGCAGCAAGAAAUAAAGAGAAAAGGCUGUUAUGUCCCUGUUUUAUUUGUAAAUCAUAUGUGUAAACUUUAUGGGCAUAUUUGUAAUUUCUUACGAAUCUGUUCAUCUUCCCUAUAAAUAGUUGAAUAGUGCCCUACAUACAAUUCACCUCUCGAGGGCCUUAGCUUCGUCUUGCAUAGCCUUUGAAGUGUCUUCGACCUAUCUUGUGAAAAGAAUCUGAAUAUAUGUUUGUAAAUUUGUUUGAUACCAAGGAAGAUGGAAUAAAAAAAUGCUAAGGCAUACGAGAUAAGUUUUUCAUGUUGCUUUUAUCAUCUUUCCAUUUAAACAUUGUUCUAUACACAUCCCUCUUCAUGCCUUUGUCCUUAAGUUAUCCCUUCGGAGAAGUGGUAAUUUAAGGACCAAGGUUCGGACUUAACUUGUGUUGCCUUGUUUUUUAUGCCAUUUAGUAAUUGAAAACAAGUGACCAACAUUGGCACCCAUCUCCGGUGAUUCCGCGACCACAACAACCUGAACCACAACAAAGGGGAUCACAAACCGUCAAGCUUCGUCGUUAUCCUUGGAGAAGCUUGUGCUCCCCAUUACUAGAGGCUCGAGCUUCGAACCCACCAAUAAGAAACGAAAGAAAGAGGCCCAAAGAAGGGUGCAACAUGUAGGUGUCCAAGGACCAAGUGGUCCCAUAUUCCUAUCACCUUUUCUCAAGACGAUCUUUGUCUCAAAGAUUAUCCACAUAGAGAUUCCAUGUUUAUAUCAUGUGUCAUAAAAGGCUUCGUGGUGCACGGUGUCAUGGUUGACACAGGUAGCGCAACAGAUAUCAUAUUUGCCAAAGCCUUCAUGCAAAUGCAAGAGCCCGAAGAUAAGAUUCAGGAUUCAGCUUUUCCCCUCUAUGGCUUCAGGGGGCAGCAAGUGAUGGCACUAGGAAAGUUGUCUAUGCCCAUUACCUUCGGCUAUGUGAAAGGGAAAUGUGCCCUUGGGCCAUUUCUAAGUAUUUUGGUGAUUGAGUGCCAACACACGUGGACUCAGGUUAAUCUAUGGAUAAAGUGCAAAUCAAGUAAAAAGGUAUGUUUCUAAGACUUACUACAUUGUUUUGGAGACUAAUGUAUUGUGUCUAAGUGCUGGAAACAUGAGAAAUCAAGUUGGAAAAGGGAUGACUCUGUUCAGCCAAAGACAGCUCGGUCUGGGUGCACCGGACUGUCCGGUGGUGCACCGGACUGUGUCCGGUGCGCCAGGCCUGUGACUGUCAACUGGCUGCUCUCGGGAAGCAAUUAACGGCGUACGGCUAUAAAUCACCGGACUGUCCGGUGAGCCAACAGUCAGCCGGGCCAACGGUCGGCCGCGGAAUCCGCGCGCGACGCGUGGCAGAGCCAACGGUUAGAAGGGGGCACCGGACUGUCCGGUGCGCCAACGGCUAGGAAUCUGCAACGGUCGGCUUCGCCAAAUAAGGAAAGAGAUCCGCACUGGACAGUGUCCGGUGGUGCACCGGACUGUCCGGUGCGCCAGGCGACAGAAGGCAAGAAUUGCCUUCUUGAAAUGCUCUCAACGGCUCCUAGCUGCCUUGGGGCUAUAAAAGGGACCCCUAGGCGCAUGGAGGAGAAGAUCAAGCAUUCCUUGAGCAUUGUUGAUCACUCACACUUCAUUCUUGCGCACUUGUUCGACAUUCUUAGUGAUUUGAGCUUCGUUCUAGUGAGAACCUCGAGAUAUUGUCUUGAGCUCAAGUCUUGAUCUUGUGUGUGCGUAUUUGCUGUGGAUUUGAGUGUGUUGCUUCCCUCCCUUACUCUUGUGCUUCAUAUUGAUUCUUAUUGUAAGGGCAAGAGACUCCAAGUUGUGGAGAUUCCUCGCAAACGGGAAAAGAGCAAAGUAAAGAAGAACACCGUGGUAUUCAAGUUGAUCUUUGGAUCACUUGAGAGGAGUUGAGUGCAACUCUCGUCCGUUGGGACGCCACAACGUGGAGUAGGCAAGUUUUGUACUUGGCCGAACCACGGGAUAAAUCCUCGUGUCUCUUGUGCUUGUCCUUAUUGUGUCUAUUGUGCUUCACAAGAGUUCUCCUCUCUACUCACUUGAUUUCAUUAUACUAACUCUUAAUCAAGUUUAUGGUGUUAAGUUUUAAGUUUUACAGGAUCGCCUAUUCACCCCCACCUCUAGGUGCUCUCAAUUGGUAUCAGAGUCGUUCUCUUCAAGAAAGGGACUAAUCGCCCGAAGAGAUGGAUCCUAGGGGCAAGGGGAUGAUGGUCAAUGAUAAGGAGAAGGAGUCCUUCGUCAAUGAUCCAAAAGAUGACAAGCCUACUGACUCGGGCUCAAGCCACAAAAGAAAAGACGGGAAGAAGAAGAAAACAAGGCGCAUCAAGGAGAUCGUCUACUACGACGACAGCGACGAGUCCUCUUCUUCCCAAAAGGACGACGACAACUACGAGAAAAAGAAAACGGUCAAUUCAAACUUUUCUUUUGAUUAUUCUAGAAUUCCACAAAAUACAAAUGCUCAUUUACUUUCCAUUCCACUUGGUAAACCUCCUCACUUUGAUGGAGAGGACUACGGAUUUUGGAGUCACAAAAUGCGUUGUCACUUGUUCUCUCUUCAUCCAAGCAUAUGGGAGAUAGUAGAGAGUGGAAUGCAAUUUGAUAGUACUGAUAGUCCCACAUUUAUCAAUGAGCAAAUUCACAAAAAUGCACAAGCUACUACUGUUCUUCUAGCAUCUUUAUGCAGGGAUGAAUACCAUAAGGUGAGCGGCUUGGACAACGCCAAGAAAAUUUGGGACACCCUCAAGAUCUCUCAUGAGGGAAAUGACGUCACCAUGCUCACCAAGAUGGAGUUAUUGGAGGGCGAACUUGGGAGAUUCGCAAUGAUUAGGGGCGAGGAGCCAACCCAAACGUACAAUCGGCUCAAGACCCUCGUCAACAAAAUAAGGAGCUAUGGAAGCACGCGAUGGACGGACCACGACGUCGUUCGCCUAAUGCUAAGGUCUUUUACUGUCCUUGAUCCGCAUCUUGUGAACAAUAUUCGUGAAAAUCCUAGGUACACCAAGAUGACUCCCGAGGAGAUACUUGGAAAGUUCGUGAGCGGGCGGAUGAUGAUCAAGGAGGGUAGAUACGUUGAUGAUGCUUUGAAUGGUCCAAUCCACGAGCCUCAAACCGUUGCUCUCAAAGCAACGAGGAGCAAGGAGGCGCUACCUAGCAAGGUGGCACAAGUUGAGGCGGCGGGACUCAAUGAGGAAGAGAUGGCCCUCAUCAUCAAGCGCUUCAAGACGGCGCUAAGGGGUCGCAAGGAGCAUCCCAACAAGACCAAGACAAAGGGGAAGCGAUCAUGCUUCAAAUGUGGUAAGAUUGGUCAUUUUAUCGCUAAUUGUCUUGAUAAUGAUAGUGACCAGGAACAAGGGAACAAGAGGGAAAAGAAGAAGGCUUACAAGAAAGCUAAGGGCGAGGCACACCUUGGAAAGGAGUGGGACUCGGAUUGUUCGUCGUCCGACUCCGACAACGAAGGACUCGCCGCCAUCGCCUUCAACAAAGCGUCCCUCUUCCCCAAUGAGCAUCACACCUGCCUCAUGGCAAAGGAGAAGAAGGUAAACUCUCGAAAAUCCACUUAUGCUUCUUCUAGUGAGGAUGAGUCUAGUGAUGAUGAUGAAAUAGACUAUGCUAGUUUAUUCAAGGGACUAGAUAGAACUAAGAUUGAUAAAAUAAAUGAAUUGAUUGAUGCUUUGAAUGAUAAGAAUAGAUUGUUAGAAAAGCAAGAGGAUCUCUUAUAUGAUGAGCAUGAUAAGUUUGUAGAGGCACAAAACUCCCUUGUGUUAGAAAUUAAAAGAAAUGAAAUGCUCUCUUGUGAAUUGUCUACAUGCCAUGACUCUAUUUCUAUCUUAAAGAGCAUAAAUGAUGAUUUGAAUGCUAAGUUAGAAAUAGCCAAUAAAUCAACAUCUUGUGUAGAACAUGUUGCAAUUUGCAAUAGGUGUAAAGAUUUUAAUAUUGAUGCUUGUAGUGAACACCUAGUUUCAAUUUCUAAAUUGAAUGAUGAAGUGGCUAGUCUUAAUGCCCAACUUAAGACUAGCAAAAAUGAUUUUGAUAAACUAAAAUUUGCAAGGGAUGCCUACACGGUUGGUAGACACCCCUCAAUUAAGGAUGGUCUUGGCUUCAAGAGGGAAGUCAAGAACUUAACAAGCCAUAAGGCUUCCAUCUCCAUCAAGGAGAAAGGGAAGGCUCCUAUGGCAAAUAGUAUUCAAAAGAACCAUGCCUUCUUAUACCAUGAUAGGAGAUAUUCUAGGAAUGUUCAUCACGAUAGGAGUUGCAAUGAUGUUGUUUCACAUGCUUAUGAUUCAAAUGCAAUGUUUGCUUCUAGUUCUUCUAUGCAUCAUAGAAAUUUGGCUAGGAAAACGCUAUGCCUAGAAGAAAUAUUGUUCAUGUUCCUAGGAAAGUAAUGAAUGAACCUUCUACAAUUUAUUAUGCUUGCAAUGCUUCCUUUGCUAUUUGUAGAAAGGAUAAGAAGGUAAUUGCUAGGAAAUUAGGGGCCAAAUGUAAGGGAGACAAGACUUGCAUUUGGGUCCCUAAGACUAUUGUAACUAACCUUGUAGGACCCAACAUGAGUUGGGUACCUAAGACCCAAGCCUAAAUUUGCCUUGCAGGUUUAUGCAUCCGGGGGCUCAAGCUGGAUUAUCGACAGCGGAUGCACAAACCACAUGACAGGGGAAAAGAGGAUGUUCUCUUCCUACGUCAAGAACAAGGAUCCCCAAGAUUCAAUCAUAUUCGGUGAUGGGAACCAAGGCAAGGUGAAAGGGUUAGGAAAAAUUGCUAUUUCAUCCGAGCACUCUAUUUCGAAUGUGUUCUUAGUUGAGUCGCUUGGAUAUAACUUGUUGUCUGUGAGUCAACUGUGUAAUAUGGGAUAUAACUGUUUAUUCACAAAUGUAGAUGUGUCUGUCUUUAGAAGAAGUGACGGUUCAUUAGCUUUUAAGGGUGUACUAGACGACAAACUUUAUUUAGUUGAUUUUGCAAAAGAGGAGGCUGGUCUAGAUGCAUGCUUAAUUGCUAAGACUAGCAUGGGCUAGCUGUGGCAUCGCCGUUUGGCACAUGUGGGGAUGAAGAACCUUCACAAGCUUCUAAAGGGAGAACACGUGAUAGGUCUAACUAAUGUAACUUUCAAAAAAGAUAGACCUUGUGCAGCUUGUCAAGCAGGUAAACAGGUGGGAAGCUCUCAUCAUGCCAAAAAUGUGAUGACAACAUCAAGACCCCUGGAGUUACUUCAUAUGGACCUCUUCGGACCUGUCGCCUAUCUAAGUAUAGGAGGAAGUAAGUAUGGUCUUGUUAUAGUUGAUGAUUUUUCCCGCUUCACUUGGGUAUUCUUUUUGCAGGAUAAAUCUGAAACCCAAGGGACCCUCAAGCGCUUCCUAAGGAGAGCUCAAAAUGAUUUUGAGCUCAAGGUGAAGAAGAUAAGAAGCGACAAUGGGUCCGAGUUCAAGAACCUUCAAGUGGAGGAGUAUCUUGAGGAGGAAGGAAUCAAGCACGAGUUUUCCGCUCCCUACACACCACAGCAAAAUGGUGUGGUAGAGAGGAAGAACAGGACGCUACUAGACAUGACAAGGACGAUGCUUGGUGAAUUCAAGACGCCCGAACGGUUUUGGACAGAAGCCGUGAGCACGGCUUGCCACGCCAUAAACCGGGUCUAUCUUCAUCGCCUCCUCAAGAAGACUUCAUAUGAGCUACUAACCGGUAACAAACCCAAUGUAUCAUACUUUCGUGUAUUUGGGAGCAAAUGUUAUAUUCUAGUGAAGAAAAGUAGAAAUUCUAAGUUUGCUCCCAAAGCUGUAGAAGGGUUUUUGUUAGGUUAUGACUCAAAUACAAAGGAGUAUAGGGUCUUCAACAAAUCAUCGGGUUGGGUUGAAGUCUCUAGCGACGUUGUAUUUGAUGAGACUAAUGGCUCUCCAAGAGAGCAAGUUGUUGAUCUUGAUGAUGUAGAUGAAGAAGACAUUCCAACGGCCGCAAUGCGCACCAUGGCGAUUGGAGAUGUGAGGCCACUGGAACAAAAGGAGCAAGAUCAACCUUCUUCCUCAACAAUGGUGCAUCCCCCAAUUCAAGACGAUGAACAGGUUCAUCAAGAAGAGGCGUGUGAUCAAGGGGGAGCACAAGAUGUUCAUGUGAUAGAGGAAGAAGCGCAACCGGCACCUCCAACCCAAGUUCGAGCGACGAUUCAAAGGAAUCAUCCUGUCGACCAAAUAUUGGGUGACAUAAGCAAGGGAGUAACUACUCGUUCAAGAUUGGUUAAUUUUUGUGAGCAUUACUCCUUUGUCUCUUCUAUUGAGCCUUUCAGAGUAGAAGAGGCCUUGCUAGAUCCGGACUGGGUGUUGGCCAUGCAAGAGGAGCUCAACAACUUUAAGAGAAAUGAAGUUUGGACAUUGGUGCCUCGUCCCAAGCAAAAUGUUGUGGGAACCAAGUGGGUGUUCCGCAACAAACAAGACGAGCACAGAGUGGUGACAAGGAACAAGGCACGACUUGUGGCAAAAGGUUAUGCCCAAGUCGCAGGUUUGGACUUUGAGGAGACUUUUGCUCCUGUGGCUAGGCUAGAGUCAAUUCGCAUAUUGUUAGCCUAUGCUACUCACCAUUCUUUCAGGUUGUUCCAAAUGGAUGUGAAGAGCGCUUUCCUCAACGGGCCAAUCAAGGAGGAGGUGUACGUGGAGCAACCCCCUGGCUUCGAGGAUGAACGGUACCCCGACCACGUAUGUAAGCUUUCUAAGGCGCUCUAUGGACUUAAGCAAGCCCCAAGAGCAUGGUAUGAAUGCCUUAGAGACUUUUUAAUUACUAAUGAUUUCAAGGUUGGGAAAGCUGAUCCAACUCUUUUUACUAAGACUUGUGAUGGUGAUCUUUUUGUGUGCCAAAUUUAUGUCGAUGACAUAAUAUUUGGUUCUACUAACCAAAAGUCUUGUGAAGAGUUUAGCAGGGUGAUGACUCAAAAGUUUGAGAUGUCGAUGAUGGGCGAGUUAAGUUAUUUCCUUGGGAUCCAAGUGAAGCAACUCAAGGAUGGAACCUUCAUCUCCCAAACGAAGUACACGCAAGACUUGAUCAAGCGGUUUGGGAUGAAGGACGCCAAGCCCGCAUAGACCCCAAUGGGAACCGACGGACACACCGACCUCAACAAAGGAGGUAAGUCCGUUGAUCAAAAGGCAUACCGGUCUAUGAUAGGGUCUUUACUUUAUUUAUGUGCUAGUAGACCGGAUAUUAUGCUUAGCGUUUGCAUGUGUGCUAGAUUUCAAUCUGAUCCAAGGGAGUGUCACUUAGUGGUGUGAAGCGAAUUCUUAGAUAUUUAGUCGCUACGCCUUGCUUCAGGAUCUGGUAUCCAAAGGGGUCUACCUUUGAAUUGAUUGGAUAUUCAGACUCCAACUAUGCUGGAUAUAAGGUCGAUAGGAAGAGUACAUCAGGGACGUGCCAAUUCUUAGGAAGGUACAUGAUGUCGUGGAGUUCUAAGAAACAAACUUUCGUUGCCCUAUCCACCGCUGAGGCCGAGUAUGUUGCCGCAGGACAGUGUUGCGCGCAACUACUUUGGAUGAGGCAAACCCUCAGGGACUUUGGCUACAAUAUGAGCAAAGUCCGACUCCUAUGUGAUAAUGAGAGUGCUAUCCGCAUGGCGGACAAUCCUGUUGAACACAGCCGCACAAAGCACAUUGACAUCCAGCAUCACUUUUUGAGAGACCACCAGCAAAAGGGGGAUAUCGAAGUGUUUCAUGUUAGCACCGAAAACCAGCUAGCCGAUAUCUUUACCAAUCCUCUAGAUAUCGGCUAAGACUUCGAUAUCAGGUAAAGAUAUCGGCUAGCUGGUUCUCGGAGCUAACAUGGAACACUUCGAUAUCUCCCUUUUGCUGGUGGUCUCUCAAAAAGUGAUGCCGAAUGUCAAUGUGCUUUGUGCGGCUGUGCUCAACAGGAUUUUCCGCCAUGCGGAUAGCACUCUCAUUAUCUCAUAGGAGUGGGACUUUGCUCAGAUUGUAGCCAAAGUACUUGAGGGUGUGCCUCAUCCAAAGUAGUUGUGCGCAACACUGUCCUGCGGCAACGUACUCGGCCUCAGCGGUGGAUAGGGCAACGGAAGUUUGUUUCUUAGAUUUCCAUGACACCAAGGACCUUCCUAAGAAUUGGCACGUCCCCGAUGUACUCUUCCUAUCGACCUUACAUCCAGCAUAGUCGGAAUCUGAAUAUCCAAUCAAGUCAAAGGUAGACCCCUUUGGAUACCAGAGCCCGAAGCAAGGCGUAGCAACUAAAUAUCUAAGGAUUCGCUUCACUGCCACUAAGUGACACUCCUUAGGAUCGGAUUGAAAUCUAGCACACAUGCAUACGCUAAGCAUAAUAUCCGGUCUACUAGCACAUAAGUAAAGUAAUGACCCUAUCAUUGACCGGUAUGCCUUUUGAUCAACGGACUUACCUCCUUUGUUGAGGUCGGUGUGUCCGUCGGUCCCCAUCGGAGUCUUUGCGGGCUUGGCGUCCUUCAUCCCAAACCGCUUCAGCAGGUCUUGCGUGUACUUCGUUUGAGAGAUGAAGGUGCCGUCCUUGAGUUGCUUCACUUGGAACCCAAGGAAGUAGUUCAACUCGCCCAUCAUUGACAUCUCGAAUUUCUGCGUCAUCACCCUGCUAAACUCUUCACAAGACUUUUUAUUAGUAGAACCAAAUAUUAUGUCAUCGACAUAAAUUUGGCACACAAACAAAUCACCAUCACAUGUCUUAGUGAAAAGAGUUGGAUCGGCUUUCCCAACCUUGAAAGCAUUAGCAAUUAAGAAAUCUCUAAGGCAUUCAUACCAUGCUCUUGGGGCUUGCUUAAGUCCAUAGAGCGCCUUAGAGAGCUUACAUACGUGGUUGGGGUACCGUUCAUCCUCGAAGCCAGGGGGUUGCUCCACGUACACCUCCUCCUUGAUUGGCCCGUUGAGGAAAGCGCUUUUCACAUCCAUUUGGAACAACCUGAAAGAAUGGUGAGCGGCAUAUGCUAGCAAGAUACGAAUUGAUUCUAGCCUAGCCACAGGAGCAAACGUCUCCUCAAAGUCCAAACCUGCGACUUGGGCAUAACCUUUUGCCACAAGUCGAGCCUUGUUCCUCGUCACCACUCUGUGCUCGUCUUGUUUGUUGCGGAACACCCACUUGGUUCCCACAACAUUUUGCUUGGGACGAGGCACCAAUGUCCAAACUUCAUUUCUCUUAAAGUUGCUAAUGAUUUAAAGGUUGGGAAAGCUGAUCCAACUCUUUUUACUAAGACUUGUGAUGGUGAUCUUUUUGUGUGCCAAAUUUAUGUCGAUGACAUAAUAUUUGGUUCUACUAACCAAAAGUCUUGUGAAGAGUUUAGCAGGGUGAUGACUCAAAAGUUUGAGAUGUCGAUGAUGGGCGAGUUAAGUUAUUUCCUUGGGAUCCAAGUGAAGCAACUCAAGGAUGGAACCUUCAUCUCCCAAACGAAGUACAUGCAAGACUUGAUCAAGCGGUUUGGGAUGAAGGACGCCAAGCCCGCAUAGACCCCAAUGGGAACCGACGGACACACCGACCUCAACAAAGGAGGUAAGUCCGUUGAUCAAAAGGCAUACCGGUCUAUGAUAGGGUCUUUACUUUAUUUAUGUGCUAGUAGACCGGAUAUUAUGCUUAGCGUUUGCAUGUGUGCUAGAUUUCAAUUUGAUCCAAGGGAGUGUCACUUAGUGGCUGUGAAGCGAAUUCUUAGAUAUUUAGUCGCUACACCUUGCUUCAGGAUCUGGUAUCCAAAGGGGUCUACCUUUGACUUGAUUGGAUAUUCAGACUCCAACUAUGCUGGAUGUAAGGUCGAUAGGAAGAGUACAUCAGGGACGUGCCAAUUCUUAGGAAGGUACAUGAUGUCGUGGAGUUCUAAGAAACAAACUUUCGUUGCCCUAUCCACCGCUGAGGCCGAGUAUGUUGCCGCAGGACAGUGUUGCGCGCAACUACUUUGGAUGAGGCAAACCCUCAGGGACUUUGGCUACAAUAUGAGCAAAGUCCGACUCCUAUGUGAUAAUGAGAGUGCUAUCCGCAUGGCGGACAAUCCUGUUGAACACAGCCGCACAAAGCACAUUGACAUCCGGCAUCACUUUUUGAGAGACCACCAGCAAAAGGGGGAUAUCAAAGUGUUUCAUGUUAGCACCGAAAACCAGCUAGCUGAUAUCUUUACCAAGCCUCUAGAUGAGUCGACCUUUUGCAAGCUGCGUAGUGAGCUAAAUUUCUUAGAUUCGCGGAACUUGGAUUGAUUUAUAGCAUACAUGUGUUUUAUGCCUUGAUCAUGUUACUUAAUGCAUUUUGUUGCCUAUUUAUGGUGCUCAAGUUGUACAAGCACUCCCCGGACCUCACAAGUCCAUUUGCAAGUGAUGCACAUAUUUAGGGGGAGAUGUGCUACAACUUGACCCUUUGAGACUAACUAUGUGCUUGAGUUUACUUAAUUUAGUCUCAAAGGAGGUUUGAAAGGGAAAAUGUGGACUUGGACCAUGCAAGACUUCCACUGCACUCCGAUGAAAGAGUAACUAAUUCCAUGUUCAUCUAUGUAAUCUUAUUGCCUUUUUACUCUUAGUUGAUGAUUUUGGUGAGGCAAUGGGGUUAAAGGGUCAAAAUUGAUCUCGUUUUGGUGCUUGAUGCCAAAGGGGGAGAAAAUAAGGCCAAAGCAAGAAAUGGAUCAGGCUACCACUUGAGGAUUUUGAAGCCACUUGAGGAUUUUGAAAAAAGUAGAGUUAGAGUUUUUGUUUGUCAAAAAUUUUAAUUGUCUCUUUUGUCUAAAGUUGGUCUCUUGUGGGGAGAAGGCUUGAUUAUGGGAAAAAGGGGGAGUUUUUGAAUCUUUGAUCAAUUUCUCUUGAAAUAUCUCUCUUUAUGUUUCAACAAGUGUGUUUUACUUAGAGAUAGGAAAUUGAGUUUGAUUUGCAAAAACAAACCAAGUGGUGGCAAAGAAUGAUCCAUAUAUGCCAAAUUUGAAUCAAAACAAAUUUGAGUUCUCAUUUGUAUUGAUGUUGCACUUCCUUUAGUUGCUUUUUAUUGUGUUGGCAUAAAUCACCAAAAAGGGGGAGAUUGAAAGGGAAAUGUGCCCUUGGGCCAUUUCUAAGUAUUUUGGUGAUUGAGUGCCAACACACGUGGACUCAGGUUAAUCUAUGGAUAUAGUGCAAAUCAAGUAAAAAGGUAUGUUUCUAAGACUUAGUACAUUGUUUUGGAGACUAAUGUAUUGUGUCUAAGUGCUGGAAACAUGAGAAAUCAAGUUGGAAAAGAGAUGGCUCUGUUCAGCCAAAGACAACUCGGUCUGGGUGCACCAGACUGUCCGGUGGUGCUCCGGAUAGUGUCCGGUGGUGCACCGGACAGUGUCCGGUGCGCCAGGCCUGUGACCGUCAACUGGCUGCUCUCGGGAAGCAAUUAACGGCGUACGGCUAUAAAUCACCGGACUGUCCGGUGGUGCACCGGACUGUCCGGUGAGCCAACAGUCAGCCGGGCCAACAGUCGGCCGCGGAAUCCGCGCGCGACGCGAGGCAGAGCCAACGGUCAGAAGGGGGCAUCAGACUGUCCGGUGUGCACCGGACAGUGUCCGGUGCGCCAACGGCUAGGAAUCUGCAACGGUCGGCUUCGCCAAAUAAGGAAAGAGAUCCGCACCGGACAGUGUGUGGUGGUGCACCAGACUGUGCGGUGCGCCAGGCGACAGAAGGCAAGAAUUGCCUUCUUGAAAUGCUCUCAACGGCUCCUAGCUGCCUUGGGGCUAUAAAAGGGAACCCUAGGCGCAUGGAGGAGAAGACCAAGCAUUCCUUGAGCAUUGUUGAUCACUCACACUUCAUUCUUGCGCACUUGUUCGACAUUCUUAGUGAUUUGAGCUUCGUUCUAGUGAGAACCUCGAGAUAUUGUCUUGAGCUCAAGUCUUGAUCUUGUGUGUGCAUAUUUGUUGUGGAUUUGAGUGUGUUGCUUCCCUCCCUUACUCUUGUGCUUCAUAUUGAUUCUUAUUGUAAGGGCGAGAGACUCCAAGUGUUGGAGAUUCCUCGCAAACGGGAAAAGAGCAAAGUAAAGAAGAACACCGUGGUAUUCAAGUUGAUCUUUGGAUCACUUGAGAGGAGUUGAGUGCAACUCUCGUCCGUUGGGACGCCACAACGUGGAGUAGGCAAGUUUUGUACUUGGCCGAACCACGGGAUAAAUCCUCGUGUCUCUUGUGCUUGUCCUUAUUGUGUCUAUUGUGCUUCACAAGAGUUCUCCUCUCUACUCACUUGAUUUCAUUAUACUAACUCUUAAUCAAGUUUGUGGUGUUAAGUUUUAAGUUUUACAGGAUCACCUAUUCACCCCCCUCUAGGUGCUCUCACUAUGUCAACAAUACAAGAACAUAGGAGGUCAUGUUUAAAGUAGUUGAUAUGGAUUUCUCAUACAAUGCAAUCAUUGGGUGGAGGACUCUCAACGUAUUCGAAGCAGUUUUGCAUUCAACUUACCUCUGCAUGAAGAUAACUAGCAACAAAGAGGUCAUAUCAGUUCAUGGUAGCCAAGAAGCAGCAAGAAGGGCAGAAGGGACCCUACAAGAACCUAAGAUUGUCUAUAACAUAGAUGAAGAUGAAGCACAGUCUCAGUAAUCUUAGAAGCAAGCAAAAGAGAAAGCAUCUUUGGUGGAUCAACUGAAGUCAAUGCUCCUCUGUGAAGAUGUUGUAGACCAAAGGGUUUUCUAUGACAAUCAGCUAACUUCGGAGUAGGAAUCCAAUCUUAGAAGGUUUGUUUUUCACAGCAAGGAUCUCUUUGCUUGGUUAGCAAAUGACUUGUGUGGAGUUGAUAGAAGCAUAAUAGAGCAUGUUGCCAUGCUCUAGAUGUUGACCCAAGAACUAGGCCAUGAAAGCAGAAUCUUCACAAGAUGUCUAAGGACAAGACUGAAGGUGCAAAGGCCAAAUUUAAAAGAUUGUUUAGUGCCGGAGUCAUAAGAGAAGUUGCAUAUCUAGAGUGGUUGGCCAACACAGUCAUGGUCAAGAAAUCCAAUAGCAAGUGGAGGAUGUGUAUCGACUUCCUAGACCUCAACAAAGCAUGCCUGAAGGAUGGAUUCCCACUGCCAAGAAUUGAUUCUCUAGUGGAUGCAGCUGCCACUUUGGAGCUCAUGAGUUUGCUGGAUUACUAUUUAGGGUACCAUCAAAUCUUAAUGAAGAAGGAAGAUGAGCCAAAGACUAGCUUUAUAACCCCUAACAGUACUUACUCCUCCCCGGCUUUACCAUGUAGAGCGAGGGGUGGACCGAGCAAGCUUCUCGUAGGCCGCAAGCUAGGUGACCGGCACAUAGUUCAUUUGCUCGUAUCCACGUCCAAGGUUGUACCUCACAUUCCCUUAUGGUAACCCGGCUAAGGGGGUGGCCACGAGGCCUCUCUUUGGUUGGCCAGAUCGACGAAAGAGCCGACACAUGGUUGAAUUAGGAAGGACUCAAUGAGAUGCCCCCAACGGGUCGAGCCCCCAGUCGGACCACUCGCCAAGACUUAACCCUACAGGAGGGAGGUCGGAUCUCACUUGGAUAACUCGUUUGUAGCUCGACGACCUCCUUAUCCACGCCGACUAGGUCGAUGGAGGGAGGCCCUCUCUUAAAAAAGACCAUAGAAGGCCUUCCAAGGGAGGACACAUGUAUGCCAAGGACCAAACACUUAGAAGGCGACCAACUUAGAAGAGCACCCACUAGGACUAUGCUCGUGUCAAGUACUAAAUUGACUCACACUGAGAGUGUGAUGACCAUUGCAGGAAGGGUCCGCCCCUAAAUCGCGCACACACCAAAUAAACCCUCAAGCAAUCAACAUGGAUUACUCGAGGGCUACAUCUAACAGAUGCGCUUGUGCGACCAGAUAAGCGUAAGAUCUCAAGCUAAAGCCUCUGCACAACUCCAAGAGUUACACGAAGGCUCGGGGGCUGUUGUCGGGUACCUAAGAAUAUGGUACCCAAAGUAGCCCAUGACCUCUUUCCAGCCCAUUUGCUGAGCAAAUCCGCAUCGGGAGCCGGCUUCUAGGUCCUGUGCCGAGCAAGCCUGCGAGGCAGAGCCACCGACUAAGCCCCGUCGAGCAAGUCUGCGAAGUGGAGCGAUCGAUCAAGUCCCCGCCGAGCAAACCAGUAGGACGGAGCUCCCAGUCCUAUAUGCUACUGGUCCAUGUCAGCUACGACAGGACGCAUCAUCACCAAGCAAUGUCCGGACAUAUGAGCAGCAUACCAAAGGGGCACUAGGGGGUCACUGUCAACAUGAUUGUACGUCCCUACGAAAGGUCUCAGGCGUAUCCCCACUACCUCUGGGUCGCAACUAUGACCCAUAUACCGGGAAUGACGGGACAAUGCACUGUACCGAAUGUACGCCUACACAUGCAGGCUGGUGACACGGGGCUCAUGAUGACAGCGUCUGCGCUACGCACGACCGCACAAUAAGACUGAAUAGUGGGACCUGCCACACACUAUUGCGAAGACAUCAACAAUAGACUUGCUACAUGGACUUGUCUGACGGAAUAGCAAGCCGGUACACCCGUACCGGGAGUAGGGCUACGCAUGACCCUACGGACGACCUCAGGAACACCACGACAACCCGGGGCUACGGAUCUCUCCCUCUCUAGUAGAAAACAGUCUCCUCUAUAAGGUUCUUCCCUUGAGCUAUAAAAGGGAAGGCCCUCCUCCUCCUUCCAGACAGACGUAAAAGUUGUAGCAGUUCUCAGGCAAUACUACGAUUAGUACUACACUGGACUAGGGCGCAAGCCUGAACCAAUAUAACUCACUGUCUCACACCCCCUCUUCUGGAAUCCCCACCGAACACAAAUUCUGUAUCCACCGGUUUCUGAAAACCACGACACUAUGCAUGUAGUGUUCGUAAAUCGCUAGGUACUGAGACUGGAGGGACAAGUUGACCAUGCUUGGAAGCAGCAAUUUCUAACGAACUUCUAGGUGCGAUGUGGUUAGGGAUGAAAAUGGAUGGAACCGAUCAGAAAAACUCCUCUCCUGUUUUUAUUUUUUACAAUUUAUUUUGAAAACAGUAUCAAAAGGGAACCACCGAAAACAGGACUAGUGGGAUGGCGUAAACGAACCAAAAUGAAUGGAACAAAUCAAUAAUGAAUCGAAAUCAAACGUAAAAAAAUAGAAACAUCGUCGUAGAGAGUAUAAAAAGAAAGUAGUAAAUAAUGCUUGUUAGAUGUUGCAGUGGGUACUAUACGGAUAACAAGCACAAACAAGUGGCCCAUCCCGGCUUGGUGGUGCGUGAGCACGGUCCUUCUCCUUUGUUUUGCUCCUUGACUCCCCACACCAGUCAGCGUGGAUUUACCAAUGUGGCUCAUCCAUCUUAGUCCAUGUUCGGUUAAUCCUAUGGAUUGGAUGAGAUUCGAAAAAUUUAUGAAAGAUUUUGGCUCGUUUGGGAUUGAAAUCCAUUCAAUCUCACCUAAUCCAUAUAGAUUGAGAGCAAAACGAACAAGUCCUUGUCUGGAGCUCACGAGGCGAAGCGAACUUUUCUAGGCUCCUACUGCUCUCACGGAAAGUGCUCCAACUCUCAUCCGGUUACAGCUCCUCUCGUGAAAAGGUCUCUGAUUCCUCCACUGAAGGCUCCGCCUCAAGACGAAGCCACUCUUCUAUGUUCCGGCUUCUCUCGCGGAAAAGACUCGGAUACUCAACUUUCCUAUAGGUGUACAUUUGGGCUGUGCCUGAUGGACUGGCCCGAAGCACGAAAAAAGCACGACUCGGGCACGGAACGACCCGAAAUAUUUUAGUGUCGGACCGGCACGACCCAGUAUAUCGGGUUGGGUUUGGGCCGAGGUCGCGGCCCAUGGGCGGGCACGAGCACGACCCGUUUAAGGCAUGCACGAAAUGGCACAUAUAGAGACACAAAAAGGCCCAUAUAUUUAUUAAAACCACACUUCAUUGCACACUUUUAUGUACUUGAUAAAGAACACAAAGCUAAAGAUAAUGCUAGUUAGAUGUUGUUUGUAGCUUUGAACUAGAGUAUGUGAUGUAAUUUUACUUUUGUUAUGAACAUUAGAUAAUGAACUGAACUUACGAACUUUGUAUAGAGUUGAUUAUACCCUUUUUCCUUCUAAUAAAAUAAUUUGUAAACGAGGUAGUCAUUGCAUAGCUCUCGUAACUUAAUACAAAUAUUAAGUUUGCUUUUGGUUAAAUUUAUUUGUCAAAUCUUUUAUUUGUUUUAUUAAAUUUGUUUUGAAUUUAGGGCUCUCAUGUGAAUUCCGAGCCGUGAUGUGAAUUUCGGGCUAAAAAUUGAAUUUCGGACUUUUAUAAUUUCGGAUCGCUCGAAAUGAGCCCGUCACGUUUAAGCAAUUACAUAACAGACCGUGGGCCGAGGGCGAGGCCCAUGGGCCGGCCAGGCACGGCCCGGCAAUGACCCGAAAUUCAAACGGGACGGCCCGGCCCGAAAUUCAAACAAGACUGGCCUUUCCGGACUUUGGCUGGCGGCUCGAAUGUACACCUAUAAACUUUCCUUUUGGGAUUAUUUUAUUAGUUAGCAGAUUAGAUGCAAUCAGGAGCUAACGUGUCCACCAACAUACCAAUAGCUGGAGUCAAUUCCAGACCUGAUGUGGACUCCAGAGAGGCCGAGACUACCGAAUUUUUUAUAUUUUAGCCCUUUUUUGGAAAAAAAUUCACGUUUGGACCUUAAAAAAUUUUAAUGUCAUUUUUGAACCCUUUGCUCGGCGCCAUAGCCAAUGGCGCCGAGGUAACACAGCUCGGCGCCAUAGGCUAUGGCGCCGAGGUGCGUGUUACGCUGGCACAAACGGACGUCGUGGCACCGACGUGGCACCGACAUGGAACCGAGCUCGGCGCCAUAGAUCUUGGCGCCGAGCUCUGUUAUGUACACAAAACUUGUCUAGCUUAGUUGGUAGAGCUCAAGGCUUUUAACCUUGUGGUUGUGGGUUCAAGCCCCAUGAUAGGCAUGUUUUCAUACUUUUUUUUGUCUUUGACACUGAUUUUUUUUAUUGUCCAGAUUUUUCGUUUAUGUCGCUGAUUUGUCCGUCUAGAUUUAUUUCUUAUCCAGAUUUUUGUUUUUGUGACUGAUUUGUUUAUCCGUCCAUAUUUUUUUCGUUUAUUAAGCUUAAGGAAACAUACUUACAUUGGUUAGCGGCCACCGGUUUAGCUAUGGUGCAUCGUGGUUUUUUUCGUUUAUGCCGCUGAUUUGUCCGUCCAAAUUUAUUUCUCAUCUUGAUUUGUUUUUGCUUUUGCGACUGAUUUGUUUAUUACAUUUUGUUUAAUAGUACUGAAUAAUCCGUCUGGCCCUUGGUGCAUUGUAAACCCCACAUGCUUAAGCUUAAUUCCGUCCUCUCGCUAAUUACAAGUGAUUUUAAACAUUAAAUAAUAUACUAAAAACUGAAGUACACCAUUUAAAAUGUUAAAAAUAUUUAUAUCAUAAACAAAUGAUUGUGUUAAUCUUACAUUAGUAGUGAUGUACAAUGAUAAAUUUUAAUUAAUAUUAAAAAGUAUAAUUUCGAAUACAUUAGAUUAUUGGAGUUUUAGAGUCCAAAAUAUAAAUAUACUUAAUAAACAAAAAGAUUAUAAUUAGAGUCCAAAAUAUAAAUAUACAAGGUAUAAAUAAACAGUGACUUGAUGAUUUUAUAAAGUACUUUGUACUUCCAUAGGGUGGGUUACUUAUGUGCAUGGUACUUGCGUCACGCAGUUUGAAUAAACAAAAACAAAAACAAAAAAUAUCUAGAUGAAUACAAAAACGGUCACAAAAACAAAAAAACCAGAUGAAAAAUAAAUCUGGACGGACAAAUCAGCGACAUAAACGAAAAAUAUAGACAACAAAAAAACAAGUUAGUGAUAAAAAAAUACGUCCACGAUGGAGCUUGAACUCACAACCUCAAAGUUAAAAGUCUUGCACUCUACCGACUGAGCUAGACAUACUUUGCUGUUACAUAUCCGAGCUCGGCGCCAUAGAUCUUGGCGCCGAGCUCGGUACCACGUUGGCGCCACGUCGUUCAGGUUGAGCCAGCGUAGCACGCACCUCGGCGCCAUAGCCUAUGGCGCCGAGCUGUGUUACCUCGGCGCCAUUGGCUAUGGCGCCGAGCAAAGGGUCCAAAAAUGACAUUAAAAUUUUCUAAGGUCCAAACGUGAAUUUUUUUCCGAGGAAGGGCUAAAAUAUAAAAAAUUCGGCCGAGACUACGGGGACAAGUUGACCAAUGACGAGGCAGCAGUUUUCUAACGAUAUGUGCAACAAGCAUACAAACAAGUGGCCCAGCCCGGCCAUGUGCGCGAGAGCUACCGAUCCUUCCUUUCGCUCCUUCUGGCUCGCCACAACGUACAGGAAAAGUUUAUCCUCAGAUAGUCAGAUCCAAGAACGCUGAUUCAGAUCUGCCAAUGGUGAAUAGUAUAGUAUAGAGGUGCAGUUUUCUUCCAAAAUUAUGGGAGGACUCGCGUCGAGUUCAGCGCAGCAACCGCCAGCCAAUAAUGUUACAGCUUGUUCGCUGCGGCUUUAAUCCAGCUGCGGCUGCGUCUUCUACAGUAUUUUGUCUCUAUAGAUUGCAGCUGCAGCAGUCCGAACGGCUUUAAUCCAGCCGCAGCGAACAAGCCCUUAGGGAAUCACUGCCAAUAAUGCACUAUUGAAUAUGCGUGGUUACUACCUGAACCAUGGAUAUUGUUUUUAUUUCGAUUAAUGAUAUGCUACCUGGUGUUUGAUUCCUAACUAAAGUUUAAAUGGUGCCACAUCAAAUGUUUGAAAUCAAUUAUGAAUGUUAAAUAUAUGUUUAAUUUGGUUAGAUAAAUUUAUUUUGUCUUUUCGUCUUCAUCUGUGUGAGACACACGCCAUAAAUUACGGUUCUGUUUUUUGCGCAACAACAUAAAUAGUUCAGAAAUAGUGUAAAUAAUUAAUAGAGACAACAUAAAAACCUCGACCAGGCACACACGCAGGUGCAUGCAUGCAAAUCCAAAUUUUAUGGUAGAUCCGAUAAUUAUAGCAGAUUGUGGUAGUUUUCAUUGCAUGUGCGCAAAUUUUAGAUGUCAUUUUCGUUUCCGCUGAAUGCGCACAAAAAUUGGAUGACAUCAUAAAUAUAGCAUCGCUCCAACACACAUGCAACUAGACUCGUUAGAAUAAUUUUAUGAUAUAUACUGAUACAAAUUAUGAUAUACAAAUUUAGGAUGACAGUAAUGUGCGAUGAAAGAAAAUGAAUUGGCAUGUAUGGAAACAAAACAUCUUAUUUAAAUACUUUAUUUUCUCCAUAAAUAUAGAAUAACUCUAACAGCCAUGCAGAUAGAGUCGUUAGAACCAGUUUAUAAUAUAUACUGAUGCAAAUUAUUCUGCACGAUGAAGUUAUUUAUGUAAUGCGGUACACUACGUAAAAUGCGGUUCACUGGUGGAUGCAUCUUCAUGUUCGAGCAUAAAAACCUUCAAUUUUGAGCAUAAAAAUCCGCAGUUAUGAUCGUAAAUACCGAGCCAAUGUGAGAGAGGUUGAUAACUCUGGUGCAUUGUAUUCACAAUCCCAUUUUUAUGGUAGAUCAAAAAAUUAUGGAAGUUGCAUGCAUACGGUUUCUACUUUUAUGCAUAUCCAAAAAUUAUGGUAGAUCGUGGGAGUUUCCAUUGCAUGCGUGCAAACUUUAGAUGAUAUUUUCGUUCCACAGCACACGACGUAAAAAAAUGGAUGACACGAGUCACGCAGAACAAAAAUUCUUAUAUAAACCCUCAUAAAUACUUACAUCGUGUAGCAUAAUUCAUAACAAAUCUAAUAUCAGUCCAACUAACAACCCCAUGUGAAUUAGGGAUAGUUUUAUUGCAGACGUAAAAAUCUGUCAGUUACGAAUAUAAGUGAUUUGAUUUUAUUUUUAUGGUAAUUACAAACAUUAUAAAUCAAGGAAUUUCCUUUUCAAUGUGCAUGCAACAAAUAAGGCAUCUAAUAAACUGAUGUACGAACUCAGUGUUCGAGUAUAAAAUUCUUCAGUUUUUAGCGUAAAUAGUGCAUGUGGUAGGCAUAAAACACAAUAACCGAAGGCAUAACAUGGAUUGGAUGAGGUAGUCAUGGAGGACGUCGUCUAGGACACAAGAUCGGAGUGAGGUCGUCAAUUGGGGCGCCUGAACUGUGCCGGAUCGAAGGAUGUCACGUGCGACCGUCGCCGCGCACACCUCGCGUCUUCCGUGGACGUCACUCGAUCCUCGCCCCUCGUGUGGCAUUGUCACUGCUCGCACGUCGGGGGGUGCCACCGUUGUUCGUGGGUUAUGGUGUGUCGCCGCCACGGGGCCUGGGGUGCGACGCCAUCGCUCGCCCGCCUCGGGAGCAUUGUCGUCGCUUGCCCACCCGCCUCGAGAGUGCCACAACCAAUCGCCCACCUUGGGGCCCUAGGAUCGCCACCGCUCACCCGCCCCCGGGGCCCCAACGUAGCUCGCCCUCCGGAUCGGGGAACCAUCGCCACCUGAUAGUCGCCUAGAGGGGGGUGAAUAGGGCGAAACUGAAAUUUACAAAUAGUGACACAACUACAAGCCGGGUUAGCGUUAGAAAUAUAAACGAGUCCGCGAGAGAGGGCGCAAAACAAAUCGCAAGCAAAUGAAGAGUGUGACACGUGGAUUUGUUUUACCGAGGUUCGGUUCUCGCGAACCUACUCCCCGUUGAGGAGGCCACAAAGGCCGGGUCUCUUUCAACCCUUCCCUCUCUCAAACCAUCCCACGGACCGAGUGAGCUUUCUCUUCUCAAUCACUUGGAACACAAAGUUCCAACAAGGACCACCACAAGUUUGGUGUCUCUUGCCUCAAUUACAAGUGAGUUUGAUCGCAAUGAAAGAAUCAAGAAAGAAGAAAGCAAUCCAAGCGCAAGAGCUCGAAAGAACACAAGCAAAUCACUCUCUCUAGUCACUAUGGCAUUGUGUGGAAUUUGGAGAGGAUUUGAUCUCUUUGGUGUGUCUAGAAUUGAAUGCUAGAGCUCUUGUAGUAGCUGGGAAGUGGAAAACUUGGAUACCAUGAAUGGUGGGGUGGUUGGGGUAUUUAUAGCCUCAACCACCAACUUGACCGUUGGUGGAGACUGUCUGCUCGAUGGCGCACCGGACAGUCCGGUGCACACCGGACAUGUCCGGUGCCCCUGCCACGUCAUCACUGCCGUUGGAUUCUGACCGUUGAAGCUUCUGACUCGUGGGCCCGCCUGGAUGUCCGGUGCACACCGGACAUGCACUGUUCCUUGUCCGGUGCGCCAGUAUGGGCGCGCCUGACCUCUGUGCGCGCUGUGCGCGCAUUUAAUGCGCCGCAGGUAGCCGUUGGCGCCGAAUAGCCGUUGCUCCGGAGUUGCACCGGACAGUCCGGUGCACACCGGACAUGUCCGGUGAAUUAUAGCGGACGAGCCGUUGGAGAUUCCCGAAGCCGGCGAGUUCCUGAGGCCGCUCCUCCUUGGCGCACCGGACACUGUCCGGUGUACACCGGACAGUCCGGUGAAUUAUAGCGCGAGUGCCUCUGGAAAUUCCCGAAGGUAGCAAGUUCGCGUUGGAGUCCUCUGGUGCACCGGACAUGUCCGGUGGUGCACCGGACACUGUCCGGUGGCACACCGGACAAUCCGGUGCGCCAGACCAGAGGUGCCUUCGGUUGGCCCUUUGCUCUUUUGUUGAACCCAACUUUUGGUCUUUUUAUUGGCUAAGUGUGAACAUUUAGCACCCGUAUAACUUAUACACUAGAGCAAACUAGUUAGUCCAAUUGUUUGUGUUGGGCAAUUCAACCACCAAAAUUAUUUAGGAACUAGGUGUAAGCCUAAUUCCCUUUCAAUCUCCCCCUUUUUGGUGAUUGAUGCCAACACAAACCAAAGCAAAUAUGGAAGUACAUAAUUGAACUAGUUUGCAUAAUGUAAGUGCAAAGGUUGCUUGGAAUUGAGCCAAUAUAAAUACUUACAAGAUAUGCAUGGAUUGUUUCUUUCUUAUAUAACAUUUUGGACCACGCUUGCACCACAUGUUUUGUUUUUGCAAAUUCUUUUGUAAAUCUUUUUCAAAGUUCUUUUGCAAAUAGUCAAAGGUAAAUGAAUAAGAUUUUGCAAAGCAUUUCCAAGAUUUGAAAUUUGCUCCCCCUGAUUCAAAUACUUCUCCUUUGACUAAACAAAACUCCCCCUAAAUGAGAUCCUCCUCUUAGUGUUCAAGAGGGUUUUGAUAUAUCAUUUUUGAAAUACUACUUUCUCCCUCUUUUGAACACAAUAGGAUACAAUUGAUAAAAUUCUUUGAAAACACGAAGUUUUUGAAAUUGGUGGGGUGGUGCGGUCCUUUUGCUUUGGGCUCUUACUUUCUCCCCCUUUGGCAUGAUCGCCAAAAACGGAGUCAUUAGAGCCCUCGUUUCAAAUGCUUCUCCUUUGGUCAUAAAUAAAUGAGUUAAGAUUAUACCAAAGACGAAGUCCUUUUGCUUGGUGCUCAUGCUUUCUCCCCCAAGAAUGGAGAGUGACUUGGAGUGACGGCGAAGGAUGAGUUACGGAGUGAAAGCCUUUGUCUCCGCCGAAGACUCCAAUUCCCUUUCAAUACACCUAUGACUUGGUUUGAAAUAGACUUGAGAACACAUUAGUCAUAGCAUAUGAAAGAGAUAUGAUCAAAGGUAUGUAAAUGAGCUUAUGUGUGCAAUCUAGCAAAAGAAAUUGCGUGAAUCAAGAAUAUUGAGCUCAUGCCUAAGUUUGGUAAAAGUUUGUUCAUCAAGAGGCUUGGUAAAGAUAUCGGCUAAUUGAUCUUUAGUGUUAAUAUAUGAAAUCUCGAUAUCUCCCUUUUGUUGGUGAUCCCUAAGAAAAUGAUACCGAAUGGCUAUGUGCUUAGUGCGGCUAUGUUCGACGGGAUUGUCGGCCAUUUUGAUUGCACUCUCAUUAUCACAUAGCAAAGGGACUUUGGUUAGUUUGUAACCAUAGUCCCGCAGGGUUUGCCUCAUCCACAGCAAUUGCGCGCAACAAUGGCCUGCGGCAAUGUACUCGGCUUCGGCGGUGGAAAGAGCGACCGAAUUUUGCUUCUUUGAAGCCCAAGACACCAAGGAUCUUCCCAAGAACUGGCAAGUCCCUGACGUGCUCUUCCUAUUGAUUUUGCACCCCGCCCAAUCGGCAUCCGAAUAACCAAUCAAAUCAAAAGUGGAUCCCCUAGGAUACCAAAGCCCAAACUUAGGAGUAUAAGCUAAAUAUCUCAAGAUUCGUUUUACGGCCGUAAGGUGGGAUUCCUUAGGGUCGGAUUGGAAUCUUGCACACAUGCAAACGGAAAACAUAAUGUCUGGUCGAGAUGCACAUAGAUAGAGUAAUGAACCAAUCAUCGACCGGUAUUACCUUUUGAUCCACGGACUUACCUCCCGUGUCGAGGUCGAGAUGCCCAUUGGUUCCCAUGGGUGUCUUGAUGGGCUUGGCAUCCUUCAUUCCAAACUUGCUUAGAAUAUCUUGAGUGUACUUGGUUUGGCUAAUGAAGGUGCCCUCUUGGAGUUGCUUUACUUGAAAUCCUAAGAAAUACUUCAACUCCCCCAUCAUAGACAUCUCGAACUUUUGUGUCAUGAUCCUACUAAAUUCUUCACAUGUAGACUCGUUAGUAGACCCAAAUAUAAUAUCAUCAACAUAAAUUUGGCAUACAAACAAGUCAUUUUCAAGAGUUUUAGUGAAUAGAGUAGGAUCGGCCUUUCCGACUUUGAAGCCAUUAGCAAUAAGGAAAUCCCUAAGGCAUUCAUACCACGCUCUUGGGGCUUGCUUGAGCCCAUAAAGCGCCUUAGAGAGCUUAUAGACAUGGUUAGGGUACUCACUGUCUUCAAAGCCGGGAGGUUGCUCAACAUAGACCUCUUCCUUGAUUGGUCCAUUGAGGAAAGGCACUUUUCACGUCCAUUUGAUAAAGCUUAAAGCCAUGGUAAGUAGCAUAGGCCAAUAAUAUGCGAAUUGACUCAAGCCUAGCUACGGGUGCAUAGGUUUCACCGAAAUCUAAACCUUCGACAUGGGAGUAUCCCUUGGCCACAAGUCGAGCUUUGUUCCUUGUCACCACACCAUGCUCAUCUUGCUUGUUGCGGAAGACCCAUUUGGUUCCUACAACAUUUUGAUUAGGACGUGGAACUAAAUGCCAUACCUCAUUCCUAGUGAAGUUGUUGAGCUCCUCUUGCAUUGCCACCACCCAAUCCGAAUCUUGUAGUGCUUCCUCUACCUUGUGUGGCUCAAUAGAGGAAACAAACGAGUAAUGUUCACAAAAAUGUGCAACACGAGAUCUAGUGGUUACCCCCUUAUGAAUGUCGCCGAGGAUGGUGUCGACGGGGUGAUCUCGUUGGAUUGCUUGGUGGACUCUUGGGUGUGGCGGCCUUGGUUCUUGCUCAUCCUCCUUUUCUUGAUCGUUUGCAUCUCCCCCUUGAUUAUUGUCGUCAUCUUGAGGUGGCUCAUUUGCUUGAUCUUCUACUUCAUCAACUUGAGCCUCAUCUUCAUUUUGAGUUGGUGGAGAUGCUUGCAUGGAGGAGGAUGGUUGAUCUUGUGCAUUUGGAGGCUCUUCGGAUUCCUUAGGACACACAUCCCCAAUGGACAUGAUCCUUAGCGCAAUGCACGGAGCCUCUUCAUCACCUAUCUCAUCAAGAUCAACUUGCUCUACUUGAGAGCCGUUAGUCUCAUCAAACACAACGUCACAAGAAACUUCAACUUGUCCACUGGACUUGUUAAAGACUCUAUAUGCCCUUGUGUUUGAAUCAUAUCCUAGUAAAAAGCCUUCUACAGUCUUAGGAGCAAAUUUAGAUUUUCUACCUCUUUUAACAAGAAUGAAGCAUUUGCUACCAAAGACUCUAAAAUAUGAAAUGUUGGGCUUUUUACCGGUUAGGAGUUCAUAGGAUGUCUUCUUGAGGAUUCGAUGUAGAUAUAACCGGUUGAUGGCGUAGCAGGCGGUGUUGACCGCCUCGGCCCAAAACCGAUCCGAAGUCUUGUACUCAUCAAGCAUGGUCCUUGCCAUGUCCAAUAGAGUUCGAUUCUUCCUCUCCACUACACCAUUUUGUUGUGGCGUGUAGGGAGAAGAGAACUCAUGCUUGAUGCCCUCCUCCUCAAGAAAGCCUUCGAUUUGAGAGUUCUUGAACUCCGUCCCGUUGUCGCUUCUUAUUUUCUUGAUCCUUAAGCCGAACUCAUUUUGAGCCCGUCUCAAGAAUCCCUUUAAGGUCUCUUGGGUUUGAGAUUUUUCCUGUAAAAAGAAUACCCAAGUGAAGCGAGAAUAAUCAUCCACUAUUACAAGACAAUACUUACUCCCGCCGAUGCUUAUGUAAGCAAUCGGGCCGAAUAGAUCCAUGUGUAGUAGCUCAAGCGGCCUGUCGGUCGUUAUGAUGUUCUUGUGUGGAUGAUGGGCUCCAACUUGCUUUCCUGCCUGACAUGCGCUACAAAUCCUGUCUUUCUCAAAAUGAACAUUUGUUAGUCCUAAAAUGUGUUCUCCCUUUAGAAGCUUGUGAAGAUUCUUCAUUCCAACAUGUGCUAGUCGGCGAUGCCAGAGCCAGCCCAUGUUAGUCUUAGCAAUUAAGCAUGUGUCGAGUUCAGCUCUAUCAAAAUCUACUAAAUAUAGCUGACCCUCUAACACACCCUUAAAUGCUAUUGAAUCAUCACUUCUUCUAAAGACAGUGACACCUACAUCAGUAAAGAGACAGUUGUAGCCCAUUUGACAUAAUUGAGAUACAGAAAGCAAAUUGUAAUCUAAAGAAUCUACAAGAAAAACAUUGGAAAUAGAAUGGUUAGGAGAUAUAGCUAUUUUACCAAGACCUUUGACCAAACCUUGAUUUCCAUCCCCGAAUGUGAUAGCUCGUUGGGGAUCUUGGUUUUUCUCAUAGGAGGAGAACAUUUUCUUCUCCCCUGUCAUGUGGUUUGUGCACCCGCUGUCGAUGAUCCAACUUGAGCCCCCGGAUGCAUAAACCUACAAAACAAGUUUAGUUCUUGACUUUAGGUACCCAAAUGGUUUUGGGUCCUUUGGCAUUAGACACAAGAACUUUGGGUACCCAAACACAAGUCUUUGACCCCUUGUGCUUGCCCCCAACAUAUUUGGCAACUACCUUGCCGGAUUUGUUAGUCAAAACAUAAGAAGCAUCAAAGGUUUUAAAUGAGAGACUAUGUUCAUUUGAUGCAUUAGGAAUUUUCUUCUUAGGCAACUUAGCACGGGUUGGUUGCCUAGAGCUAGAUGUGUCACCCUUAUACAUAAAAGCAUGAUUAGGGCCAGAGUGAGACUUCCUAGAGUGAAUUCUCCUAAUUUUGUCCUCGGGAUAACCGGCAGGGUAUAAAAUGUAACCCUCGUUAUCCUGAGGCAUGGGAGCCUUGCCCUUAACAAAAUUGGACAAUCUUUUAGGAGGGGCACUAAGUUUGACAUUGUUUCCCUUUUGGAAGCCAAUGCCAUCCUUGAUGCCCGGGCGUCUCCCAUUAUAGAGCAUACUUCUAGCAUAUUUAAAUUUUUCACUUUCUAAGUUAUGCUCGGCAAUUUUAGCAUCUAAUAUUGCUAUAUGAUCAUUUUGUUGUUUAAUUAAAGCCAUAUGAUCAUGAAUAGCAUUGAUAUCAACAUCUCUACAUCUAGUGCAAAUAGUGACAUGCUCAAUGGUAGAUGUAGAUGGUUUGCAAGAAUUAAGUUCAACAAUCUUAGCAUGUAGAAUAUCAUUUUUAUCUCUAAGAUCGGAAAUUGUAACUUUGCAAACAUCAAAAUCUUUAGCCUUAGCAAGCAAUUUUUCAUUCUCAAUUCUAAGGCUAGCAAGAGAAAUGUUCAAUUCUUCAAUCCUAGCAAGCAAAUCAUCAUUAUCAUCUCUAGGGUUGGAAAUUGAAACAUUGCAAACAUGAGAAUCAACCUUAGCUAACAAAUUAGCAUUUUCAUUUCUAACGUUGUCUAUUGUUUCAUGGCAAGUGCUUACCUCACUGGAUAAUUUUUGACAUUUCUCAAUUUCUAGAGCAUAAGCAUUUUUAACCUUAACAUGCUUCUUAUUUUCUUUAAUAAGGAAGUCCUCUUGGGUGUCCAAGAGAUCAUCCUUUUCAUGGAUGGCACUAAUCAAUUCAUUAAGUUUUUCUUUUUGUUGCAUGUUGAGGUUGGCAAAAAGGGUACGCAAAUUAUCUUCCUCAUCACUAGCAUUAUCAUCACUAGAGGAUUCAUAUUUAGUGGAGGAUUUAGAUUUGACCUUCUUUUUGCCGUCCUUUGCCAUGAGGCACUUGUGGCCGAUGUUGGGGAAGAGGAGUCCCUUGGUGACGGCGAUGUUGGCGGCGUCCUCGUCGUCGGAGGAGUCGCUAGAGCUUUCGUCGGAAUCCCACUCCCGACAAACAUGAGCAUCGCCGCCCCUCUUCUUGUAGUACUUCUUCUUUUCUCUCCUCUUUCCCUUCUUGUCGUUAUCCCUGUCACUGUCACUUGAUAAUGGACAUUUAGCAAUAAAGUGACCGGGCUUACCACACUUGUAGCAAACCUUCUUGGAGCGGGACUUGUAGUCUUUCCCUCUCCUUUGCUUGAGGAUUUGGCGGAAGCUUUUGAUGACGAGCGUCAUUUCCUCAUUGUCGAGCUUGGAGGCGUCUAUUGGUUGUCGACUUGAUGUAGACUCCUCCUUCUUUUCCUCCGUCGCCUUGAAUGCGACGGGUUGAGCCUCGGAUGUGGAGGGAUCAUCAAGCUCGUUGAUCUUCCUCGAGCCUUCGAUCAUGCACUCAAAACUUACAAAAUUCCCGAUAACUUCCUCGGGGGUCAUUUUAGUAUAUCUAGGAUUACCACGAAUUAAUUGAACUUGAGUGGGGUUAAGGAAAAUGAGAGAUCUUAGAAUAACCUUAACCAUUUCGUGGUCGUCCCACUUCUUGCUCCCGAGGUUGUGCACUUGGUUCACCAAGGUCUUGAGCCGGUUGUACAUGUGUUGUGGCUCUUCCCCUUUGCGAAGCCGGAACCGACCGAGCUCCCCCUCGAUCGUUUCCCGCUUGGUGAUCUUUGUGAGCUCAUCUCCCUCGUGCGCGGUUUUGAGCACAUCCCAAACCUCCUUGGCGCUUUUCAACCCUUGAACUUUGUUAUACUCCUCUCUACUUAGAGAGGCGAGGAGUAUUGUUGUUGCUUGAGAGUUGAAGUGCUCGAUUUGGGCCACCUCAUCCUCAUCAUAGUCUUUAUCCCCUACGGAUGGUACCUGUGCACCAAACUCAACAACAUCCCAUAUACUUUUGUGGAGUGAGGUUAGAUGAAAUCGCAUUAAAUCACUCCACCUAGCAUAAUCUUCACCAUCAAAAGUUGGUGGUUUGCCUAAUGGGACGGAAAGUAAAGGUGCAUGUUUAGAAAUGCGAGGGUAGUGUAGGGGGAUCUUACUAAACUUCUUACGCUCUUGGCGUUUAGAAGUGACGGAUGCCGCGUCGGAGCCGGAGGUGGAUGGCGAUGAAGAAUCGGUCUCGUAGUAGACCACUUUCCUCAUCCUCUUGUGCUUGUCCCCACUCCGAUGCGGCUUGUGAGAAGAAGAUUUCUCCUUCUUCUCUUUGUGGUGAGAAGAAGAUUUCCACUCCUUCCCUUUGUUGGAGGAGCUCUUCUUCUUCUCCUUCCUCUUGGUGCGGGACUCUUCCGAUGAAGUGCUCCCGUGGCUUGUAGUGGGCUUUUCGCCGGUCUCCAUCUCCUUCUUGGCGUGAUCUCCCGACAUCACUUCGAGCGAUUAGGCUCUAAUGAAGCACCGGACUCUGAUACCAAUUGAUAGUCGCCUAGAGGGGGGGGUGAAUAGGGCGAAACUGAAAUUUACAAAUAGUGACACAACUACAAGCCGGGUUAGCGUUAGAAAUAUAAACGAGUCCGCGAGAGAGGGCGCAAAACAAAUCGCAAGCAAAUGAAGAGUGUGACACGCGGAUUUGUUUUACCAAGGUUCGGUUCUCGCGAACCUACUCCCCGUUGAGGAGGCCACAAAGGCCGGGUCUCUUUCAACCCUUCCCUCUCUCAAACGAUCCCACAGACCGAGUGAGCUUUCUCUUCUCAAUCACUUGGAACACAAAGUUCCAACAAGGACCACCACAAGUUUGGUGUCUCUUGCCUCAAUUACAAGUGAGUUUGAUCGCAAUGAAAGAAUCAAGAAAGAAGAAAGCAAUCCAAGCGCAAGAGCUCGAAAGAACACAAGCAAAUCACUCUCUCUAGUCACUAUGGCAUUGUGUGGAAUUUGGAGAGGAUUUGAUCUCUUUGGUGUGUCUAGAAUUGAAUGCUAGAGCUCUUGUAGUAGCUGGGAAGUGGAAAACUUGGAUACCAUGAAUGGUGGGGUGGUUGGGGUAUUUAUAGCCUCAACCACCAACUUGACCGUUGGUGGAGACUGUCUGCUCGAUGGCGCACCGGACAGUCCGGUGCACACCGGACAUGUCCGGUGCCCCUGCCACGUCAUCACUGCCGUUGGAUUCUGACCGUUGAAGCUUCUGACUCGUGGGCCCGCCUGGAUGUCCGGUGCACACCGGACAUGCACUGUUCCUUGUCCGGUGCGCCAGUAUGGGCGCGCCUGACCUCUGUGCGCGCUGUGCGCGCAUUUAAUGCGUCGCAGGUAGCCGUUGGCGCCGAAUAGCCGUUGCUCCGGAGUUGCACCGGACAGUCCGGUGCACACCGGACAUGUCCGGUGAAUUAUAGCGGACGAGUCGUUGGAGAUUCCCGAAGCCGGCGAGUUCCUGAGGCCGCUCCUCCUUGGCGCACCGGACACUGUCCGGUGUACACCGGACAGUCCGGUGAAUUAUAGCGCGAGUGCCUCUGGAAAUUCCCGAAGGUAGCAAGUUCGCGUUGGAGUCCUCUGGUGCACCGGACAGUCCGGUGCGCCAGACCAGAGGUGCCUUCGGUUGGCCCUUUGCUCUUUUGUUGAACCCAACUUUUGGUCUUUUUAUUGGCUAAGUGUGAACCUUUAGCACCUGUAUAACUUAUACACUAGAGCAAACUAGUUAGUCCAAUUGUUUGUGUUGGGCAAUUCAACCACCAAAAUUAUUUAGUAACUAGGUGUAAGCCUAAUUCCCUUUCACCACCGAGCCACUGAAUCUGGGAAUCAUCGUCGAGACUCUGGAUCGAGGAACCACCAUCGUUGCCACCGCAAUCGCAGCCCCGGGGGUCCACCAUCGCCGCGCGCUCUCGGCCAACCGCCGCUGUCGCACGGGCCUGGGUUGUCAUCAUCGCUCGUGCAUCGGGGUGGUGCGUCAAUAACUGAGCCAUAGUGUUCUGGUACUUGUUUUAUAGACGUCCGGACCCGGUCUGGCUCAACCGGAUGACACGUCUGGCCUGGGCUUCUCUAGUUGGAAGCCCAGGGGUUUAGAUAUAUAAACUAUAUAUAUAUAUAUAUAUAUAUAUAUAUAUAUAUAUAUAUAUAUAUAUAUAUAUAUAUAUAUAUGUCUUUUCCUCCCACUUCUUCCCCUGUGCAGCACAAGGCAUCGGGCUAAGGAUACAGAUGGAUGAUUUUAUUGUACUUCUCAUGUAACCAAAUAGAAAAUGCAUAUGCUAGCUGAUCAUAUAUUUUGUAACCCUCUCCUUGGCUUAUAUAAUAUAAGGGUAGGAGACCCUUGAUCAGUAUCUACACAAUGAUUAUAGGCAUAUCUACAAUGGAGGACACCGGCCCAGGUAGUUUGAAAUUGUGAAGAAAUAUUUGAUUAUUUAGUUAUCAAGAGCUAUUAUUAGGUAUUUUCUAUAAUUAAUUAUAUAUUGUUUAAUUAAGCACUUUGAAUUGAGCAUUGUUUGUUAGAUCUAUAAGUAUUUGGUAAGUAUGAAUUUUAACCUUAUAGGUCUAAUUUGGAAACUCCAGAGAUCUCAAGACUUUUUCCUAGGUAGGUAAUCCAUAGGAAUAUUAUUUUAGUUAUCUUCUUAGUUGCUUAUAUGGGUUCUUUUAUCCCUGUGUUUAGCACCUCUUGCUUUACUGGCUUCCCAAGAAAGUCCUAUUCUUUUGCCCCUCGGUCGUUUCUAGAUCCGCUAAUGGUAAUUAACAAAGCUAAGAAGCUCUUCGUAAUAAUAUUGUGAAAAAAAUAUAGCUGAUGUCUUUAGAUCACAAGGCGGUCAUAUUAUUAUUCAUCAUAUAAGAUAUAGUACAUAAAAAGCUCAGCGUUAGGAAUGAAAAGUGGUAGAAAAUGAUAUUGCUUAUUACAUUCACAUUGGGCGAUUGAUCCGGUAUAUAUAUGUAGAUGCAGAAAACAGAUAUAUAGUACUCGACGCAUUCACAUUGCUCGGGUGCAUAUCGGUAGGUACGUAGUAGUAUAGUAUAGUAUAUAUAUUUAUGAUGAUGCAGGAGUCGGCGGGCCGGUAGAAUUGCCGUAGCCCUAGUUUUUCACUUUUUCCAUGUGAGGAACUCUCCUGAGACAAAGUCGUAGUGGGCGCCGAUCAGCUUGAGGGUCCCAUUUGCAAGCCCUUCCUUGACGAAGGGGUAGGUCUUGAGGUUCUCCAGGGACACGUUCACGGCCUCCUGCAGAAACAAUAGAGGUCCUUUUGGUGAGCAAAAACCAAUCUAUUCAUGCAACAGUAACUGCUCGACGAAUGUACAACAUACCUUCUCGAGAAUGGAGCACUGGUCAUCGAACGGCACCGAGGCGUGCUCUUUCUUUACCUUCAUCUUGGCAAUGAAGCCGAUCUUAACCCAGUCCUCGACGAAGUGGCUGCGUACGUACACCACACCAAACCAACACACAACAUGGUAUAGAGAGGAUCAAAAUCAUGCAUGACAUAAAUAAGCGCAAAUAGUUUUUUAUAUCUAAAUGAAACUUGUAUAUAUUUUACUGUCGCGACUUACAAGGUGUCAGGUGCGCCGUCCUGGAGGGAGAGGAGCGCCCUGAUGCCACCGCAGCAGCUAUGGCCAAUGACCACGAGGACCUCCACCUUGAGAGCGCACACAGCGUACUCGAUGGCGGACCCGAUGCCGGUGUACUUGGUCUGCAGUCGACACGAAAACGAGAGGCCGCGGCCGGCCGUGUGAGUAGAAAUUGAGACCAUUGCGUUGUUCACAAUCGUCAGUGUGUAUAUAUACCUUGUCGUAGCCUGGGACCAUGGCGGCUAUGUUGCGAACGGUGAAGGCCUCGCCGGGCUGCAGGCCCAGGGUCACCGAUGGGCACACACGGGAGUCGGAGCAAGCGAACACCAUGUACUGCAUGCAGCAUAGCAAAAUCACUGUCAUGUCAGGUCAGGCAAAAAGAAGGAGCACAAAAAAUCAGGCCGGUUCCCGCGGUUGUUAGCUAUGCAGCGACAAUGCCAUCCCCACAGGUCAUCCAAUUAGUAUAUAUAUAUAUCAUGGCUGAGCUCCUUGAUCUAUAUGGCGCCGAUACGUGUUAUGUCGGUAGCGUAGACUACGCCGAUAUACUAGGUCUAAUGUCGACUUUCACAAGGAUACAUAUAAUUUUUUUUUUCAAAAGAAGUUUUAAAAUAUGGUAAUUUUUAUGGAUAACAAAACUAGUAGAACCCGCUAAAAGCAUGAACGCAUGCAUGAAAUAAUCAUGCGCAUGGGAUAGAUGCCAACUCAGAACACCCAUAAAGAAAAACAAUAAACUCUGUACUUGGUUACUUGCAAUAUUCUGGCACGCCAGGUUCUAUAUACUAGGAAGUGAGCCUAUAUAGGGACGGCGGCAUCUCAAUAAUUUACCAAGCAAAUGCAAGUCUCGCCAGCUUAGCAUAUAUGGCAGCACAUGGGUUAGCAAUUAGCACGCGCGCGGGGCGCAUGCAUUUGGUUCAGAAGAAUAAGAAUGGAGUAUAGGCUAGUAGGCAAUAGCGCAUACCUUGGGGGCCUGGCCGGACUUGAGAGGCCCGAAAAGCUCCGGCUUCUUGCUGUGAAAUGAAGAAAAAAAAAUCAAACGUACUAGCACAGGAAUAAUAUAGGAUCAGUCGAAGCUAUAUCAGAAUUCCCGAUACAAAUGAAACGUUUGAAACUGAAACGGCUAAACCAAACGCCGGUGCUGCAGAAAACAACAGCCAGCUCUGAGUAGUAGAGGGGUGACUUACUCAUAGACAUUGACCUUGAACUGCUGGAACCCGCUCGUCAAGCGCUCGAUGGCGUCCUGGGGCUGCAGGACCAGCAACAAGAAAAUCGUCGGUCAGUUCGCCAUGCCCGGAAAGACUAACUUGCAUGCUCGUGAUGGUACGGUGAUAGAUGCAGCAUGAGGGGGGUAUAGAGAGAGCGAGAGAAUGAAGGGGGCGUGAUGCAACUUUUGGCCACACUGGACCGGGUGGGUGGGCUUCUGGUUCUCAAGGAGUGACGAGGUGCGUGGGAAUCUAUGGGAGGGCAAAGGCGCUGCUCUGCUCUUUUCUUCGUCUCCUGAUAUCCUCCCAUGCAUGUCAACAAGCUAAGGGGAGAGAAAGAAAUUGCGAUGGCAAACAAGGGAGAUAAAUUAAAGGGGGCUGGCCGGAUGAUGUUGGGAAUUGGGAUCUGGAGUGCGCUAGCUAUGUGCAAAUGCAAGACGACGGACGUGAUGUCGUCAAUAUAGCAAUUGAAAAAAAAAGGUAAGAGCAACUCCAAGAGCUUAUGUAAAACAAAUUGACUAGCUAAAAAUAAUAAAAUUGGAGUAAAAAUUGGAUCCAACAGUCUCUUCAAAUCCUUCUCUCGCUAUCCAACUCGGUAAACAACCCCCUCCGCUAGCCAAAUAUGACUAAUUCCCUACGCUAGCUAUCCGGUCCUCCCAUAGCCUUUGUCCUCAGCCGGAGUGGAGGCAGGACGGUGUAGCAUAGGCGCGUGGGACAUAGGGAAGAAGGCAAGGUGAGAAUGACAUGUGGGACCUACCAGUCUAAUUUGGCUAGUCUGUUGGAAUUAAUCGUAAUUUAGAGAGUGAAUUAUAGCUAAACGGCUAGCUAAAUGAGAAUAUAGAAUAAAAAAUUUGGCUAAUCUAUUGGAGUUGCUCUAAAAGAAGAGCUGUGCGCGUGGACCCCUACAGGCUCCCAUGUGACGAACUGCCCUUUGACGAAGUCGUAGUGGGCGCCAACCAGCUUGAGCGUCCCGCCGGCCAGCCCUUCCUUGACGAAGGGGUAGCUCUUGAGGUUCUGGAGCGACACGUUCACGGCCUCCUGCAGAAACACACACACACAAUUAAAGGUCGAUGAUGAUCCUUGAAUUUGUUCGUUGAUGAGCGAAACCAAUAAUAUAUAAUCCAUUAUUCAUACGGUCGGUGUGUGUGCGUGCGUUUACGUUACGUACCUUCUCCAGGAUGGAGCACUGGUCAUCGAACGGCACCGAUGCGUGCUCUUUCUUCACCUUGUUCUUGGCAGGGCUGCCGAUCCUGACCCAGUCCUCCACGAAGUGGCUGGAUAUACAUGGCCAGAUUUAAACCAACGACAGACAACACGCUGAGCAGGUUACACUACACGGGGUUCUAAUUUUUUUCUCUCUCUCUAAAUAAAACUGCUAUAUAUAUUUUUUAUACGCAUUUUACGAUGACUACUGCUUACAAG